rnacentral:piRNA from 1 species
UGAAAAGUGUAAGACAUGCAAUGGGGGG